rnacentral:lncRNA from 1 species
UAUAGAGAUAUAGAGAGAGACAUUAUGUAUAGAUUGUAUAUGUAUUGAUAUCUUGAGAGCUCAAAAUAAAAUUAAGAAAAAAAACAUACCCAACUCUUCUUGGUUCAUGGUUUUCCGUUUCCGAAGGCUAGUAAAAUAGGCGGAUUCUGGAACCCCAAGGAUUCAAUGGUAUAUGGAAAAUAUAAGAUUUCCAAUCCUAGCGGGAAAAGGCAGGGAACAGAUACCCAAUAGGAUAGGAUCCUUGGGAGGAACUUUUGGUAAU